CCUACGGGUGGCUGCAGUGGGGAAUAUUGGACAAUGGGGGCAACCCUGAUCCAGCCAUGCCGCGUGUGUGAAGAAGGCCCUCGGGUUGUAAAGCACUUUCAGUGAGGAAGAACGCCUGGUGGUUAAUACCCAUCAGGAAAGACAUCACUCACAGAAGAAGCACCGGCUAACUCCGUGCCAGCAGCCGCGGUAAUACGGAGGGUGCGAGCGUUAAUCGGAAUUACUGGGCGUAAAGCGCGCGUAGGUGGCUUGAUAAGCCGGUUGUGAAAGCCCCGGGCUCAACCUGGGAACGGCAUCCGGAACUGUCAAGCUAGAGUGCAGGAGAGGAAGGUAGAAUUCCCGGUGUAGCGGUGAAAUGCGUAGAGAUCGGGAGGAAUACCAGUGGCGAAGGCGGCCUUCUGGACUGACACUGACACUGAGGUGCGAAAGCGUGGGUAGCAAACAGGAUUAGAUACCCUGUAGUC
rnacentral:rRNA from 1 species